GACGAACGCUGGCGACGUGCUUAACACAUGCAAGUCGAACGGAAAGGCCCUGCUUUUGUGGGGUGCUCGAGUGGCGAACGGGUGAGUAACACGUGAGUAACCUGCCCUUGACUUUGGGAUAACUUCAGGAAACUGGGGCUAAUACCGGAUAGGAGCUCCUGCUGCAUGGUGGGGGUUGGAAAGUUUCGGCGGUUGGGGAUGGACUCGCGGCUUAUCAGCUUGUUGGUGGGGUAGUGGCUUACCAAGGCUUUGACGGGUAGCCGGCCUGAGAGGGUGACCGGCCACAUUGGGACUGAGAUACGGCCCAGACUCCUGCGGGAGGCAGCAGUGGGGAAUAUUGCACAAUGGGCGGAAGCCUGAUGCAGCAACGCCGCGUGCGGGAUGACGGCCUUCGGGUUGUAAACCGCUUUCGCCUGUGACGAAGCGUGAGUGACGGUAAUGGGUAAAGAAGCACCGGCUAACUACGUG
rnacentral:rRNA from 1 species